UGCCUCCCGUUUUAGACUCCCCAACCCUCAAAUUUCUCUCCUCAGCUUCCCGUAAUGGAUUCCACUUCCACUCGCUUUCUCUUCGUUGCUUUCUUCGUCUUCUUUGCUCUCUCAGCCACUUCUUUUGCUGAUCAGGUGUCUGGACUUGAAGUUGAGGAGGAAUCGGGUUGGUCAGUCAACGAUCUCGGUCGCCGUGGCAUGAUUGUUUCAAGAAUGUUGAAUUAGAGGAGAAGUCUGAUAAUAAUUCAAUUGGUAUCGAUGUCGGUUUCGAUUCGGCUGGUCUUGGAGUCUUCGAUGCUUUCUUUACAAGUUUGUCCAUGAUAGUUAUCAGUGAGGCUUGUACAUUCAAUUCUA